UACGUAGGGUGCAAGCGUUAAUCGGAAUUACUGGGCGUAAAGCGUGCGCAGGCGGUUUUGUAAGUCUGUCGUGAAAUCCCCGGGCUCAACCUGGGAAUUGCGAUGGAGACUGCAAGGCUAGAAUCUGGCAGAGGGGGGUAGAAUUCCACGUGUAGCAGUGAAAUGCGUAGAUAUGUGGAGGAACACCGAUGGCGAAGGCAGCCCCCUGGGUCAAGACUGACGCUCAUGCACGAAAGCGUGGGGAACAAACAGG
rnacentral:rRNA from 1 species